rnacentral:rRNA from 1 species
CCAUUCCGAACCUGGAAGCUAAGGCCCGGCACGGCGAUGGUACUGCACCCGGCAGGGUGUGGGAGAGUAGCACGCCGCCGCAC